ensembl:lncRNA
CUCUGGUUAAGCACUUAGGGUUUCAGUCUCAGGAAGCAUGUGCUGGAAAAGUGACCCCAACGCCAUCCUUUUUACAUCAUCUCAACCAACAGGAAUAGCUUGACUGUUUACUCAAGCCCACUGAAGGGGAACACGAGGUGACUCGACUUCUGUUGCUAAGCUUCCGCCAGUAAGCUGUCAUGGAUUUAAAGCUGGAAACUGAGCUAAUUUUCCAGAGAGGCGGGCCUUCUCAGAGGGUCACUGCAGCCCGCUGUCGCCUUGCUUGGAGCACAGGCGGGGUCACAAGCCCCUGAACUCCGAGGGAGAACAAGGGCCUCACUGUUGCCCCCGGAAGGCUGAGCACGAUGUCCAUGGAGCCCCCGGGAGACCCACAGAGAGGAGCAGUGGAGGCUUUCCCACUGCGGACCCACCUUGUUCUCGGUGGACAGGGGGUGAAGACUGACUUAUUUGUGUUCUCAAACUACCUUGGCAGCAGGGCCAGGCACAGCUCACAACAAAUCUGGACCAUCGGCACACCUAAGAAAAACAGACCGAGAGACCAGUGUUUGCCUUCCAUGAAAAGUGCACUGUUUGCUGCAGUAAGCCCAUGAAGCCCCAAAUCCUCCUUCACUGCCAGGUGGGCCUCACCCCCUGCUGGUUCCUGAGUGGGAGACCCCUGUUUGAUGGACGCUUAGAAACUGAGGAUUCUAAGAAAAACCGUUUCACUCUCUAAGACUACGUCUCACCUUCUACAAGACGAGGAUAACAAUGCCUCCUUACUGCCUGCAUGCACGUGUGCUAAGUCGCUUCGGUCGUGUCCGACUCUUUGUGACCCCAUGGACUAUAGCCCGCCAGGCUCCUCUGUCCAUGGGAUUCUCCAGGCAAGAAUGUUGGAGUGGGUUGCCAUGCUCUCUUCCAGGGCAUCUUCCCGACCCAGGGAUUGAACCUUCAUCUCUUAUGUCUCCUGCAAUGGCGGGCAGGUUCUUUACCACUAGCACCACCUGAAAAGGCCCUUUCUUACUGCAUUUAGGUAAAAAAAGAAACUCUUAGCACAGUAGUUCAGAUAAGAUUGUGUGUUGCAUGGUCAGUUGUGUCUGACUCUGUUGCAACCCCAUGGGCUGCCAGGCUCCUCUGUCCAUGGGGUUCUCAAGGCAAGAAUACUGGAGUGGGUAGCCACUUCCUUCUCGGGGGACCUUCCUGACCCAGGGAUUGGAUAGCAUUGAAGGAAUAUAAAUCACUCAUCUCUUUACUCCAAACCCUCUUGGUUGGUCAUUUCAUGCAACACACGUUUGUAAGUGUCCGCUAAGCAUCAGCCAGUUUUGAAGCUCCAAAAUUGUGCUCUCCAACCUGGCAGCUACUAGCUGCAAGCGGCCACUGAACACUUACAUCAGACAGCGCUGGUCUAGGAAAUCAGAAGGGAAUAGGACAGGAUCCUUGUCCGAGAUAACACAUGUGCGGAAAACAAAUACAAGAUAAGUACAGAGUGUGUAGAAGCCCUUAGAUAGAAGUAUGGUCUGUGCAAGAACCAAUGGGACCAAAUCUGUAGGGCUGGGGGUGGGGCGGGGCUGGUGCCUCAAGCAUCUAUAUGACGCGAGUGAGGGAAGCCCUUUCAUCCAUCACCUGUUGCGGUAAGUUGUGGCUUGUAUGUUUUAUACACACGCUCUGGUUUUCUCAACCAUUCCACAAGGCAGAUGAAGAAACCAAGGUUCAGACAGUUGACAAACUCUGACCGUUGUCAUAUAACUAAUAACUUAUAUGAAAUAUUUUUUUUUUUUGGUCAUGCCAUGUGGCCUGUGGAAUCUUGGUUCCCCAACCAGGAAUCGAACUUGCGCCCCUGGAGCAGACGCACAGAGUUUUAUCUGCUGGACCAGAUCUGAAGUUUUAACACCAGAAGUAUCAGUGCCCUUGCGCUUUACCUCUGUUCAACGCUGGAGCCUUUACUGUCUCCAGAGCUGCCCCAGCCUUCUCUUCAAAUUCCAGGCCCAUGGGUCACAGCUACAGAUCAGAGCCCUGCAUGGGAAGAAGGCAGCUUGCACAUCUCCCGUCACCAGUCUUUCCUCCAAACAGCUCAGCCUUGCUCCUGCCAUUUCCACGUUCAUUCCAUCACUUCCCCCUGAAUGCUGCCCCGGGUUCUGAAUGCAGCCUUUGCGUGUGUUCCACCUUGAGGAUGAACAGCAAACAGACACGGCGCCAGAUGGACAUUUGCUAGAAUCUAAUCCUCGGAAAAACAGCCUGAAGCGACUUUAAAAUAGCAACACACCGGUGACACUGGGUGACCAGGGGACCUGUUGUAAACAGCAACUUAAUAAAAUAAAACCCUGGUGACAGUUUUAAAAUCCUCACCAAACAUUUUGGGACUAAAGGCAAUAUUUUUAUAGCUCCUAUUCCCUGGCUGUAAAUGUCGGCUUUUUCUUAAAUAGCCCUUUCAGAGGCCCAGGUGCAGCCCAGGGGACAAGCUGAUGACAACAUGCUGCUCCAUAAAAGAGCGACUGUUCGGCCUCCAGGAAAACCCAGCGAGGCCCGUG